UCCCGUUUAGCUCAGUUGGUAGAGCGCGUCACUAGUACCCUAUGCAUGGGCUAUGACGAGGUCAGUCGUUCGAGUCGGCUAAUGGGAA